UACGUAGGUGGCAAGCGUUGUCCGGAAUUAUUGGGCGUAAAGCGCGCGCAGGCGGUCCUUUAAGUCUGAUGUGAAAGCCCACGGCUCAACCGUGGAGGGUCAUUGGAAACUGGGGGACUUGAGUGCAGGAGAGAAGAGUGGAAUUCCACGUGUAGCGGUGAAAUGCGUAGAGAUGUGGAGGAACACCAGUGGCGAAGGCGGCACUCUGGGCCGUGACUGACGCUGAGGAGCGAAAGCGUGGGUAGCAAACAGG
rnacentral:rRNA from 1 species